rnacentral:rRNA from 1 species
AUUGAACGCUGGCGGCAGGCUUAACACAUGCAAGUCGAACGAGUGGCGGACGGGUGAGUAAUGUUUGGGAAUCUGGCUGAUGGAGGGGGAUAACGACGGGAAACUGUGGCUAAUACCGCGUACCAUCGGAUGAACCCAAGUGGGAUUAGCUAGUUGGUGGGGUAAAGGCCACCCAGCCGACGAUCUCUAGCUUGUCUGAGAGGAUGACCAGCCACACCGGGACGGAGACACGGCCCGGACUCCUACGGGAGGCAGCAGUGGGGAAUAUUGCGCAAUGGGGGCAACCCUGACGCAGCCAUGCCGCGUGAAUGAAGAAGGCCUUCGGGUUGUAAAGUUCUUUCGGUGACGAGGCGUUAAUCACAGAAGAAGCACCGGCUAACUCCGUGCCAGCAGCCGCGGUAAUAC